rnacentral:rRNA from 1 species
AUGCCGUCCUCAAGUUCCGCUUCCGUUCAAGCCUUCGCGCCACAAAACCACGGGUUCGGAACGAACACGGAGCCAAUUCCGAUCGAAGAUGCGGCAGCGGCCUCGCCGCCGGUGACGGAUGCCUUUGUGGUCGGCGUCGACACCGCGGACGACGUCGACGGCCGGAGGCUCAGGCGGAAGAUCUCCAACCGGGAGUCGGCGCGCCGGUCGCGCGCGCGCAAGCAGCGGCACCUCGACGACCUCCGCGCCCUGGCCGCAAGCCUGCGGGGCGGCCGCCGCGAGCUCGCGGCGCGCGUGCACGCCGCCCGAAGCCGCGUCACUAUCGUCCUCCACGCCAACGACGAGCUCCGCGCGGAGGCCGCCGCCCUGAGCCGCCGCCUCGAGGUGGCGGCUCAUCGCGCGCUCGCCCUGAACCAGCUGUACGCCGCGGCCGCCGGUCUCGGAGCCGGGACGUUCGAGCAGGCCGCUGCCUCGCUGAUCGCCUGGAGCUGA